rnacentral:tRNA from 1 species
UUACAUUUAAUGUAUCCUAGCAUAUAAAAUUUUGAAUUUGACAGAAUUAAUUAGAUUAAUAAUGUAAC